rnacentral:rRNA from 1 species
UUUUAUAUAUAAUACUACGGUAUUUAUAUAACAUUAACAUAAUUCGCAUUACUUUAUGUAUGCGAAAUUUUACUUUGAGAAAAUUAGAGUGCUUAAAGCAGGCAAUUGCCUUGAAUACUCCAGCAUGGAAUAAUAUUAAGGAUUUUUAUCCUUCUUAUUGGUUCUAGGAUAAAAAUAAUGAUUAAUAGGGACAGUUGGGGCCAUU